rnacentral:rRNA from 1 species
UACGGGGGGAGCAAGCGUUGUUCGGAUUUACUGGGCGUAAAGGGCGCGUAGGCGGCCACCGCAAGUCGACUGUGAAAUCUCCGGGCUUAACCCGGGAAAGGUCAGCCGAUACUGCGGGGCUAGAGUGCAGAAGGGGCAACUGGAAUUCUCGGUGUAGCGGUGAAAUGCGUAGAUAUCGAGAGGAACACCUGCGGCGAAGGCGGGUUGCUGG